GAUAUGACGUUAAACUUGAUUUUAGAUGUUUUAAUUACUUCACUAGAUACUAAUGAUUGAAGAAAGUUUUUCAUGUGCCCAUGCUGGUGCUACUGUUAAAUGGGUGUCAUCUGUUUUUCAUAGAUAAGAAUCUGCCAUAGCUUCUUAUUGAAAAACAAAUAUGUGGUAUGUUUCAUUUAAAUUAUUCCCCAAAAUCUGCGUUUACCUGAAUUUGAUUCUUCAAGUGUCUGAAAACUGGAUACGAGUUACUUUGCUUCUUCUUUUUUCUUCCCAUUUCCUUUUUGGCACCUCUUGUUAAAAUAUGGAUUCAAUUGUUUGACAGUGCGUUGCACCUGAGAAUUAAAUGGUUUUCGUGAGAGAGAGCACUUUCUAAAGUUUUUGAAGUGCUUUUUGGAGGAAGCUUAGGUUUUGAAAUGAGAUCUAGAGAUGCAUUUUCUUUUUGAUCUUCCUUGGGACUUGCUUCCUUGCUCGAAUAUUUCAGUCUUGCCAUCCUUGAUGGUGUUGGAUGCUUGACGUUUGUUCUGUUAAAUCGAAGAUAACCAGGUUCAUUUUGAAUUACUUGUAAUGGUUGGUUAUACAUCUUCUUGUUAAGCCUCUUCUAUGCUUUCGUUUGAAAUGAAUGAUGAAAUGAAAAUUCUAGAUGCUAGAACAGUUUGCGCAUCACAUAUUCCAUAA